UGCCAAUUAUGUAUAGGCAUAAGAUGGU
rnacentral:piRNA from 1 species